UGAAUCCGCCAUUUUCAUAAAAAUCGAACCCCCCCUCCCCCCGGACUUCAUCUUCAUCACCCAUCAACACAAGAGGACCCAAUUCGCCUCUCUCCUCCUUCAGAUUUUCCUCAUCCUCUAUCCCUCAAAAUCAAAGAGAUAUGGAAAAGACACAAAACACCAUGAGAGCCAUGUGAAAAAUUGCCCAAAGCUGCCCCAUUUUAGCUCCAAAACAUUGGUCCUAAAACCGGCCCAAUAAAGAUGACGAAUCCAAGCUAAAAUCGCUGCCAGUUCCGCUGCAAAACAACCCCGAAAUCCCCAUCAAAACAGUCCUAAAACUCAGCCUUUAAUCACCUAAAAAACCUUCCAAAACACCACCUCAAAUCACCCCCAAAUCAGCUCUGUUUUCUGCUCAGAAAACGCCAUCUAUACAGCCCAGAGACGAGCUCAAAUCCACCCCCAAAACGAGCCAAAGACUUGCGGAAAUCAGCUAAAAAUGCAGCAAGUUCAGCUCCAAAACCACUUCAAAACCCCUCCCAAAAUCAAUUAAAAAUCCACAACAAAAAAACCUGUAAGCCAGCUUUUAAAAAUCAGCAGGAUGCCGGUUUUGUCUCUUCAUUUUAGUCGAGUUAUAAAAGGUAUAAAAGGUUGAAACGUGAGGUUGUGUUCGAGGUUUCGGUGCUGUCGGUUUACUGUUCGAGCUCCAGUAGUGAUUUCGACCCUUUAGCAUUUUCGGAAUAACCAUUUGCCCGUUGUAUAAACCAAGCUGGAAAGUUUAUUAAUUGAAUUGAAGCUACGGCUAUUGAAGGAUUAUGAGCAUAAGAAGAAGGCCAUAAGAUGCACAAAAGUUAGCUAGUCUGUUGGAACUAGUGUGAGGUACCCGCAGAAAGGACCAUCUUUGGGAGAAGUGAUCUGAGUAUCCCAUGAGCCACUAGUGCUUCGGCCUUUGGCCUGUGAAUUGGAUAUGAAAGUAGAGCAAAAGGGAUACUUAAACGUUGAAAGUGUGCCCGAGAACAGUAAAAAGGAGAAAGCUGGAGAAGCCAGGCUUGUAUGUAGGCGUUAUACCUAGCGAGGCCAGGUAAAGGCCAGGUCCACCAGGCAUUAUGCCUAGCGACGCCAGGCCUGGGGCGAGAUCCAUUCCGAGUUUUGAAGAUUUAUUUCGUCUCCUGGUUUGACUAGGACUUGACCUAUACGUGUAGGUCUUUUCCUACACAUAUAAAUAGACCUAAAACGCCACUUUGAAAGGGAUUCAACCUAGGGAGAGCAAGAAGCUUCCGUGAAGGACGAGUUUCAUCUUUUCUUCCACCAAACUUUGUAAUUUUUAUGUUUCUUUGUAUGAUUUGUUGUUUGGCUACCAUG